rnacentral:rRNA from 1 species
CAGCAGCCGCGGGAAUACGGAGGGAGCUAGCGUUGUUCGGAAUUACUGGGCGUAAAGCGCACGUAGGCGGAUAUUUAAGUCAGGGGUGAAAUCCCGCAGCUCAACUGCGGAACUGCCUUUGAUACUGGGUAUCUUGAGUAUGGAAGAGGUUAGUGGAAUUGCGAGUGUAGAGGUGAAGUUCGUAGAUAUUCGCAGGAACACCAGUGGCGAAGGCGGCUAACUGGUCCAUAACUGACGCUGAGGUGCGAAAGCGUGGGGAGCAAACAGGAUUAGAGACCCCUGUAGUCCCUGUCUCUUAUAC